AUUUCUUUGGAAACCAAAAAUAAGAGUUUAUUCGAGGGGGAAAUGAGAGAUAUUUUGGUCCACCACAGAGAAUUAUUUGAUUUUUGCAUUUCAAAAAAUUUACAUGAUACAUCAGAACAAUCUUUUUUCGGAUUUAAUGAUUCCUAAGAGGGGCCAUUUAAUUUGGCAAUAGUAAUAAAGAGAAUAUCGAAUGGAAAGAAAUGAACGGUUUGCAUCUGUAUCAACGGCCAAUUUCCGUUAGAAGAGAAGGUUCCAUCGGAACAAUUUUUUAUUUCUAUUUUCAGGGUACUUCAUCUCUUUUUUUUUUCUAAAUAAAGAAAAAAAAAGAGAAGAAAAGAAGUGUGGGGAAAAAUGACAAGAAGAUAUUGGAACAUCAAUUUGGAAGAGAUGAUGGAAGCAGGAGUUCAUUUUGGUCAUGGUACUAGGAAAUGGAAUCCUAGGAUGGCACCUUAUAUCUCUGCAAAGCGAAAAGGUAUUCAUAUUAUAAAUCUUACUAGAACUGCUCGGUUUUUAUCAGAAGCUUGUGAUUUAGUUUUUGAUGCAGCAAGUAGGGGAAAACAAUUCUUAAUUGUACGGUACAAAAAAUAAAGCGGCUGAUUCAGUAGCGCGGGCUGCAAUAAGGGCCCGGUGUCAUUAUGUUAAUAAAAAAUGGCUCGGCGGUAUGUUAACGAAUUGGUAUACUACAGAAACGAGACUUCAUAAGUUCAGGGACUUGAGAACGGAACAAAAGACGGGGAGACUUAACCGUCUUCCGAAAAGGGAUGCGGCUGUGUUGAAGAGACAAUUAUUUCACUUGCAAACAUAUCUGGGCGGAAUAAAAUAUAUGACGGGGUUACCCGAUAUUGUAAUAAUCGUUGAUCAGCAAGAAGAAUAUACGGCUCUUCGAGAAUGUAUCACUUUGGGAAUUCCAACGAUUUGUUUAAUCGAUACAAAUUGUGACCCGGAUCUCGCGGAUAUUUCGAUUCCAGCCAACGAUGACGCUAUAGCUUCAAUCCGA